AAUGAACGUUGGCGGCGUGGAUUAGGCAUGCAAGUCGAGCGAGAACCCCGCAAGGGGGGACAGCGGCGAAAGGGACAGUAAUGUGUAGAUUAUCUGCCCUCAGGUCCGGGAUAGCUGCGGGAAACUGCAGGUAAUACCGGAUAACAUCUCCGGAUCACAGGUGUGAUUCCGCCUGAGGAUGAGUCUGCAUCCUAUUAGCUAGUUGGUGGGGUAAUGGCCUACCAAGGCAUUGAUGGGUAGCAGGUGUGAGAGCACGACCUGCGUCAUUGGGACUGAGACACUGCCCAGACACCUACGGGUGGCUGCAGUCGAGAAUCUGCGGCAAUGGGCGCAAGCCUGACCGGGCGGCGCCGCGUGUGGGAUGAAGGCCUUCGGGUUGUAAACCACUGUCAGAGGGAAUGAAAUGCAGGUGGGUUCUCCCAUCUGUUUGACAUAGCCGCAGAGGAAGGACGGGCUAAGUUCGUG
rnacentral:rRNA from 1 species